AACUUUCGGCAAUGGAUCUCUUGGCUCUCGCAUCGAUGAAGAACGCAGCGAAGUGCGAUAAGUAAUGUGAAUUGCAGAAUUCAGUGAAUCAUCGAAUCUUUGAACGCACCUUGCGCCCCGUGGCUUUCCACGGGGCACGCCCGUUCGAGUGUCACGUUAACCCUCGCCAACGGCGUAGCGAUACGCCGGGAAGCGGAUUUGGAUGUUGCCGGUCGUGAGAUCGGCUCGUCUCGAAAUGCAUUAGCGAAGUGCGAAGCACGUGCGACGUUGAUAAUUGUCUACGCCUCGUGGACUUUGUUCCUCGCUUCCAAUCGUCGCGAGACAAUUUACUCAAAGUUUGACCUCGAAUCGGGUGGGACUACCCGCUGAACUUAAGCAUAUCAAUAAGCGGAGGCU
rnacentral:misc_RNA from 1 species